GAUGAACGCUGGCGGCGUGCCUAAUACAUGCAAGUCGAGCGAACAGACGAAGAGCUUGCUCCUCUGACGUUAGCGGCGGACGGGUGAGUAACACGUGGAUAACCUACCUAUAAGACUGGGAUAACUUCGGGAAACCGGAGCUAAUACCGGAUAAUAUAUUGAACCGCAUGGUUCAAUAGUGAAAGACGGUUUUGCUGUCACUUAUAGAUGGAUCCGCGCCGCAUUAGCUAGUUGGUAAGGUAACGGCUUACCAAGGCGACGAUGCGUAGCCGACCUGAGAGGGUGAUCGGCCACACUGGAACUGAGACACGGUCCAGACUCCUACGGGAGGCAGCAGUAGGGAAUCUUCCGCAAUGGGCGAAAGCCUGACGGAGCAACGCCGCGUGAGUGAUGAAGGUCUUCGGAUCGUAAAACUCUGUUAUUAGGGAAGAACAAAUGUGUAAGUAACUAUGCACGUCUUGACGGUACCUAAUCAGAAAGCCACGGCUAACCACGUG
rnacentral:rRNA from 1 species